GGUGCAGACACAGGUGAUGGACUGUGAUGAGACACAGGUGUGGGAAUGAUCGUGGACCAGGGUUGGAUCUAGGAGUCUAGAUCACAGGCUGGUUUGUCCUAAGGUAUUGGGUGAAGAAAAGAAACCGUAAGAGCAUUUUAUGUAACAAUGUAUACAAAAAGAACAUCACAUCAUAUAAAAAUGGUGCAGUUUGGGGCACCACUGAUUUCCAUUGUAGG